GGUGAGAUGGUGUAGUGGUUGGCAUGUUGGACUAUGACUCUAGAGGCCAGGGUUUGAAUCCCUGCUCAGCA